GUCUGACUGGCUUAGUUGGUAGAGCAUGUGAUUCUUGAUCUUGGGAUCAUGAGUUCAAGCCCCAUGUUGGGUG
rfam:Canis lupus familiaris chromosome 11, whole genome shotgun sequence.